rnacentral:misc_RNA from 1 species
AACGCACAUUGCGCCCCCUGGUAUUCCGGGGGGCAUGCCUGUCCGAGCGUCACUACAACCCUCAAGCCUAGCUUGGUGUUGGGCUCCGCCGCCUGGCGGGCCCUAAAGUCAGUGGCGGUGCCGUCCAGCUCCGAGCGUAGUAAUUCUUCUCGCUCUGGAGGCCUGGGCGCGUGCUUGCCAGCAACCCCCCAAUUUUAUCAGGUUGACCUCGGAUCAGGUAGGGAUACCCGCCGAACUUAA